rnacentral:lncRNA from 1 species
CGCCGAAUCCUCCCGAAAUCAUCACUCCCAACAACAGAAGCAAUACCUCACCCACAACAACAACCACCACAUCCACACAACAAGUCCUUCCUCCUCCGCCUCUUCCUCCCCGCGCCUCAAGUCCUUCCCUGCCCAGUCCGAUUCCUUCGGAAUCCUCGCCGCUCUGCCGGAGAACAAGCCCGGGUCGCACCACCAUUUGUACCAGAAAACCGCGCUCUCCUCAUCGCCUUCCUCCACCGCGUCUUCCUCUUCCAACUCCUCUUCCCGUCUCAUUCCGUCAAUUCCGAAACCGCCGCAAGAUAGGUUACCG